GAAAAACUGAGAGGCUUGUAUUUUACACUGCAGUGAUGAUUUGUCCUAGACUUAAAGCAUUUAAGGAGAAUUUACUCUUACAAAUAUGGGGUCAUUUAUACGUAUCACAACUUUGCCAUAAUUAAUAACUAGAGAUGUCCUCAGUUCUGUCUUUCUUCUGGGCCUUUUAAAGAGAAGCUGAUGAACAGUGUCAAAAGAUACCUUAAGGCCACUUAUAGAAGUAGAUUUUCUUCCAGGGUUAAUUUUUGGCACAGGGUUAGCUAACGACAUUUUUAAAUGCUAUCUACAUUGAUGUAACUUGGAAACUGGUCAAUGACAGCCUGUGGUAGAGUGGACCCUAAGUAAAAGAAUGAACCCUGCAACGUAUAGUCUUUUGUUCAUACCAAACCUUCAUACUCAAAUGGAUGCCUCAAAAAUUAUCCUUCAUUU
rnacentral:lncRNA from 1 species